CUGCGCAUGCUCUUGACUUCUGAGGCCUCUCUCCAGAACCCCUCCCCAGCUCACCAAUGGUAGUCUAAUCAAUAUGCUCUUCUCCAGUGUUGCUUUGUAGCAGUGUGAGUGCCUUGCUUUUUAAAGUGCUAUCUAUGAGAAUAUUGAACCACGUUGUAAAAAGAGAAUACAGAUGAAAUCAUACUGGCUCGGUUGGCUCAGUGGAAAUCUUCAGCUGUCGUUCCACAUGGGCAGGAUCCAUUUGCAUCCCCGGUUCCUCUCACUAGACCAAGAUGACAUGUUGCACAAGAAAAAUCAGCAGAGACAGUAUUCCCAGCCACGUUUUCCAGAUGUUUAAAGAUGUUUGAGGCUCAGGCUCAUUCAAAAGUCAUCAGACACUAUGGAGAAAUAAGGAAAGGCUGAACCUGAGGUCUUGGAAUCUCUACCUUUAGGAAAACUUUCCAAACGUCUUCCCUCCCUAAAGAUAAACUUUCGUUCAGCUUCCAGUUACCAGAUCAGAGACUACCUAAGCCUUUGAAAAUGGAACGGACAUUUUAAUUUCUUUUCGGAAAAUAAAGAAAAGGCAUUUCCCUUGAA